AGAGAGAGACAUGCGUGCAUAUCAAUAAGCGGAGGAAAAGAAACUAACAAGGAUUCCCCUAGUAACGGCGAGUGAAGCGGGAAGAGCUCAAAUUUGAAAUCUUAAAGGGUUUCCCUUUACGAAUUGUAGUUUAAAGAAGUGUUUUCUGUUGAGGUUUUGGUAAAAGUUCUUUGGAAUAGGACAUCAUAGAGGGUGAGAAUCCCGUAUUUGACCUUUACUUUCAACUUUGUGAUACACUUUCAAAGAGUCGGAUUGUUUGGGAAUGCAGUCCAAAAUGGGUGGUAAAUUUCAUCUAAAGCUAAAUAUUGGCGAGAGACCGAUAGCGAACAAGUACCGUGAGGGAAAGAUGAAAAGAACUUUGAAAAGAGAGUUAAACAGCUACGUGAAAUUGUCAAAAGGGAAGCGUUUGACACCAGUGUUGUUUUUCUGAAAAUCAAUUAAAGAACUGUUUAUGCUAAGUUGUUUAGACUUUAUCAGCUAACUGUUUAGUUUUGAGCUUUUCUUUAAUGCACUUUUCAGUUAACAAGUCAACAUCAAUUUCUUUUGCUGUAAAAAAGCUUGAGGAAGGUGGCUUGAGAUUCGUCUUAAGUGUUUAUAGCCUCUUGCCUAUGCAGUCGGAGAGAUUGAGGUCUGCAGCGUAGAUCCUUCGGGGCUAAAUGCAUUUGUGCUAAGUUAUAGCAUUUUAUAGACAACUUGUUGACUAUGAUUUGUCUUGUAGCUUACUCGCUUAUGUUAUUUUACCUACGCUUAGGAUGUUGACGCAUGAGAUAUACGC
rnacentral:rRNA from 1 species